rnacentral:lncRNA from 1 species
AUAAAACAUGUUCUUCAAAGUAUUAGGCAACUAAAGGAAAAACAAAUUCCACAAAAGACAACCAGUCGGUUCCAUUUUGUUUAAUGUUGUACAAAAAAAAUUGGUGAGUAUUACAAUGAAAAGUGAUUAAAUCACUGAUAUCACACUGCCAUCCCGCUACCUAAACAGCUGAGAUUCACUUCUCUAUUCAUACAAUAGAAUCUUAGUGGCCUUCAGGAAAAGAACAAAAAUGAAAUCCUCGAGUCACAUGUUCUUUUUUCUACAUCAUAAAGCUGUGCUCACAGAGACGGCUUCUUCUAUCAGACUCCUCGGGCGUACAGGAACUCAGUUGUAAAUAAAGUUGAACCUGCUCAAAAGCUGAGGAAGGCUGGAAAUAAUGGGUCCGUAUCCUGGUGCAUUGUCAUAGAGCUCAAACAACGGUGCAGCUACCAGCUUGUAAUUUUUGGGGACUGCAAACAAAGCCUUUUCUUGAAGCUGGACUAAGAAAAGCUUCUUGUGCUCUUUUGGUUUGGUAAUGUGAGCUGGGAUAUAGGGGUACUGUGGAGGUUCAAAGUUUGGUCUCCACCAGUUACCAAUGCAGUCAUCAAUCACCCAGUCCUGCUGGACGCCAUCCUGACGGCCCAGGAUCUCUGUCAUUAAGCGUUUGAGCCCUUCUACCUCAUCUUCUCCUGGAUUGAGUUCACCACCAGGUAGCUUGAAGAAAGUCGUCCCCAGCUGCAGUAAUAACACGUGGGGCAGUCGGUGCUCGUGCACUAUCAGAACUCCUUCCACCGUCCGCCUCAUACCAAUUUUGUCAAACUCUUCUCUCAUGCGCUGGAACCGAGCAGCCACUGAACUGUCCUUCUCAUAAAGGGGCUCCUUUGUGCCAAAUGUGUAAUUGGUGAGAGGAUACAGGUUGAUGGUCCUCUCCAGUGUCAGCGGCUUGGUCUGCUGGAUGUAUUUGUUCCCGAACUGGUUCACCCCGCGGGGCCAGCCGGUCUGCGAGCGGUUGGGCGGCACCACGGACAUGGCGAGAGGCGGCGGGAACGCUAUCCGCCAUACAACUCCCGGCGGGCCGCGCUGCCACCGCUCCGACGGAAGCGCCCGCCUUCCACUUCCGGCGGCGCCCACCAUAGAGUCGCGCCGCUCCGUCCCUCCGCGGCGUCCCGCCUGACCAACUGCGGGG